AACGAACGCUGGCGGCAUGCCUAACACAUGCAAGUCGAACGAGACCUUCGGGUCUAGUGGCGCACGGGUGCGUAACGCGUGGGAACCUGCCCUUAGGUUCGGAAUAACUCCCCGAAAGGUGUGCUAAUACCGGUUAAUGUCUUCGGACCAAAGAUUUAUCGCCUUUGGAUGGGCCCGCGUUGGAUUAGCUAGUUGGUAGGGUAAAAGCCUACCAAGGCGACGAUCCAUAGCUGGUCGGAGAGGAUGAUCAGCCACACUGGGACUGAGACACGGCCCAGACUCCUACGGGAGGCAGCAGUGGGGAAUAUUGGACAAUGGACGAAAGCCUGAUCCAGCCAUGCCGCGUGAGUGAUGAAGGCCUUAGGGUUGUAAAGCUCUUUUACCCGGGAUGAUAAUGACAGUACCGGGAGAAUAAGCUCCGGCUAACUCCGUG
rnacentral:rRNA from 1 species